UACGUAGGGUGCGAGCGUUAAUCGGAAUGACUGGGCGUAAAGCGUGCGUAGGCGGCUGGUUAAGACGGAUGUGAAAUCCCCGGGCUCAACCUGGGAACGGCAUACGUGACUGGCCAGCUAGAGUAUGGCAGAGGGGGGUAGAAUUCCACGUGUAGCAGUGAAAUGCGUAGAGAUGUGGAGGAAUACCGAUGGCGAAGGCAGCCCCCUGGGCCGUGACUGACGCUGAUGCACGAAAGCGUGGGGAGCAAACAGG
rnacentral:rRNA from 1 species